CAUGCAAGUCGAGCGAGAAGCUAACUUCGGUUAGUGGACAGCGGCGCACGGGUGAGUAACGCGUGGGAAUUUACCUUUCGGCGGGGGACAACAGUUGGAAACGACUGCUAAUACCGCAUACGCCCUACGGGGGAAAGAUUUAUCACCGAAAGAUAGGCCCGCGUUAGAUUAGGUAGUUGGUAGGGUCAAAGCCUACCAAGCCGACGAUCUAUAGCUGGUUUGAGAGAACGAUCAGCCACACUGGAACUGAGACACGGUCCAGACUCCUACGGGAGGCAGCAGUGGGGAAUCUUGCACAAUGGGCGAAAGCCUGAUGCAGCCAUGCCGCGUGAGUGAGAAGGCCUUCGGGUUGUAAAACUCUUUUAGAUGUGAAGAUGAUGACGGUAACAUCAGAAAAAGCACCGGCUAACUUCGUGCCAGCAGCCGCGGUAAUACGAAGGGUGCUAGCGUUGUUCGGAAUUACUGGGCGUAAAGAGCGUGUAGGCGGCUUAGCAAGUUAGAGGUGAAAUCCCAGGGCUCAACCCUGGAACUGCCUUUGAUACUGCUAAGCUUGAGAUCGUGAGGGGAUAGCGGAAUACCCAGUGUAGAGGUGAAAAUUCG
rnacentral:rRNA from 1 species